AGCGAACGCUGGCGGCAGGCUUAACACAUGCAAGUCGAACGGGCGUAGCAAUACGUCAGUGGCAGACGGGUGAGUAACGCGUGGGAACGUACCUUUUGGUUCGGAACAACACAGGGAAACUUGUGCUAAUACCGGAUAAGCCCUUACGGGGAAAGAUUUAUCGCCGAAAGAUCGGCCCGCGUCUGAUUAGCUAGUUGGUGAGGUAAUGGCUCACCAAGGCGACGAUCAGUAGCUGGUCUGAGAGGAUGAUCAGCCACAUUGGGACUGAGACACGGCCCAAACUCCUACGGGAGGCAGCAGUGGGGAAUAUUGGACAAUGGGCGAAAGCCUGAUCCAGCCAUGCCGCGUGAGUGAUGAAGGCCCUAGGGUUGUAAAGCUCUUUUGUGCGGGAAGAUAAUGACGGUACCGCAAGAAUAAGCCCCGGCUAACUUCGUGCCAGCAGCCGCCGUAAUAC
rnacentral:rRNA from 1 species